AGGCAAAAGAAAUUGUGUCAAGGAAUUCUGCCUGUUUCAUCACAGUAGUGGCAUUGCAGAAUGGAGAUUUAAGAGAAAAUCUUGGAAAAAGCAACAAAACUAUGUGGACCCAGCUGAAGGAAGA